rnacentral:rRNA from 1 species
UGCAAGUCGAGCGAACUGAUUAGAAGCUUGCUUCUAUGACGUUAGCGGCGGACGGGUGAGUAACACGUGGGCAACCUGCCUGUAAGACUGGGAUAACUUCGGGAAACCGAAGCUAAUACCGGAUAGGAUCUUCUCCUUCAUGGGAGAUGAUUGAAAGAUGGUUUCGGCUAUCACUUACAGAUGGGCCCGCGGUGCAUUAGCUAGUUGGUGAGGUAACGGCUCACCAAGGCAACGAUGCAUAGCCGACCUGAGAGGGUGAUCGGCCACACUGGGACUGAGACACGGCCCAGACUCCUACGGGAGGCAGCAGUAGGGAAUCUUCCGCAAUGGACGAAAGUCUGACGGAGCAACGCCGCGUGAGUGAUGAAGGCUUUCGGGUCGUAAAACUCUGUUGUUAGGGAAGAACAAGUACAAGAGUAACUGCUUGUACCUUGACGGUACCUAACCAGAAAGCCACGGCUAACUACGUGCCAGCAGCCGCGGUAAUACGUAGGUGGCAAGCGUUAUCCGGAAUUAUUGGGCGUAAAGCGCGCGCAGGCGGUUUCUUAAGUCUGAUGUGAAAGCCCACGGCUCAACCGUGGAGGGUCAUUGGAAACUGGGGAACUUGAGUGCAGAAGAGAAAAGCGGAAUUCCACGUGUAGCGGUGAAAUGCGUAGAGAUGUGG